UACGGGGGGGGCAAGCGUUGUUCGGAAUUACUGGGCGUAAAGGGCGCGUAGGCGGGUGGACAAGUCUCGCGUGAAAGCCCACGGCUCAACCGUGGAAUUGCGGGAGAUACUGUCUGUCUUGAGCCCGGGAGAGGAGGGUGGAAUUACCAGUGUAGCGGUGAAAUGCGUAGAUAUUGGGAGGAACACCGGUGGCGAAGGCGGCUCUCUGGAACGGUACUGACGCUGAGGCGCGAAAGCUAGGGGAGCAAACGGG
rnacentral:rRNA from 1 species